GGAAUAUUGGACAAUGGGCGCAAGCCUGAUCCAGCCAUGCCGCGUGAGUGAUGAAGGCCUUAGGGUUGUAAAGCUCUUUUGUCCGGGACGAUAAUGACGGUACCGGAAGAAUAAGCCCCGGCUAACUUCGUGCCAGCAGCCGCGGUAAUACGAAGGGGGCUAGCGUUGCUCGGAAUCACUGGGCGUAAAGGGCGCGUAGGCGGCCAUUCAAGUCGGGGGUGAAAGCCUGUGGCUCAACCACAGAAUUGCCUUCGAUACUGUUUGGCUUGAGUUUGGUAGAGGUUGGUGGAACUGCGAGUGUAGAGGUGAAAUUCGUAGAUAUUCGCAAGAACACCAGUGGCGAAGGCGGCCAACUGGACCAACACUGACGCUGAGGCGCGAAAGCGUGGGGAGCAAACAGGAUUAGAUACCCGGG
rnacentral:rRNA from 1 species